rnacentral:rRNA from 1 species
UACGAAGGGGGCUAGCGUUGCUCGGAAUCACUGGGCGUAAAGCGUUGCGUAGGUGGUGAGUUAGUCUGUCGUGAAAGCCCCGGGCUCAACCUGGGAAUGGCGAUGGAUACUGGCUUGCUAGAUGUGCCGGUAGAGGAGAGUGGAAUUCCCGGUGUAGCAGUGAAAUGCGUAGAGAUCGGGAGGAACAUCAGUUGCGAAGGCGGCUCACUGGCCCGGUACUGACGCUGAGGUGCGAAAGCGUGGGGAGCAAACGGG